rfam:Bacteroides sp. CAG:770 genomic scaffold, scf158
GGAGGAAUACUCAAGUGGUUCAAGAGGCCGGUUCGCUAAACCGGUAGGCCGUAAAGGUGCGUGGGUUCGAAUCCCACUUCCUCCG